rnacentral:rRNA from 1 species
GAGUUUGAUCAUGGCUCAGGAUGAACGCUAGCGGCAGGCUUAAUACAUGCAAGUCGAGGGGCAGCACGAAUAGCAAUAUUUGGUGGCGACCGGCAAACGGGUGCGGAACACGUACGCAACCUUCCCAUAACUGGUGAAUAGCCUUCCGAAAGGGAGAUUAAUACACCGUAACAUAAAGAGUAGGCAUCUAUUUUUUAUUAUAGCUUCGGCGGUUUUGGAUGGGCGUGCGCCUGAUUAGGUAGUUGGCGGGGUAAUGGCCCACCAAGCCUUCGAUCAGUAACUGGUGUGAGAGCACGACCAGUCACACGGGCACUGAGACACGGGCCCGACUCCUACGGGAGGCAGGCAGUAAGGAAUAUUGGUCAAUGGACGCAAGUCUGAACCAGCCAUGCCGCGUGAAGGAUGAAGGCCCUCUGGGUUGU